rnacentral:lncRNA from 1 species
GCUGUGCUGUCACUCUGUGCCCCCCCAGGGCUGAUGGUGGCUCCAAAUCGGCCGCGGUGGCACCGGGAGGCGGCGGGUGAGAGCACCAGGGCUGAGGUGACACGAGGAACCCAUCGGAUCACGGGGAUGGGGGCUGAGCUGCAGCAUGGCGUGUCCCCACUGUGUCCAGUUGUUGUCACCACCACCUCGGGGGUGGCACCGGAGCGGGGGAUGGAGGACGGGGUGACACAGGAUGGGGCGUUGGCGUGGGACAACGAGGUGACACAACGGCACGGGGACACCCAGGGGGGACAUGGGGGUCUUUGGGGUCAUGGGGGGGAUGUGGGGUCUUUGAGGGGGAUGGGAAUAUGGAGGUCUUUGGGAUCCCCAAGGAUGGGAGGGGAUAUUGGGGUACCCUAGGGGACAUGAGGGGACACUGGGGAUUCCCAUGGGGACACUGAGGGCCCAGGAGGUGGCGCUGGGCUCCCACGGGGACAUGAGGGAUGCCGGGGGGCCUCAUGGGGACAGUGGGGUCCCCAACAGAGGGCACUGGGCUCCCAUGGCCCCCGUAUCCCCCAGUCACCCCAUAUCCCACUCCAUCCCCCCUACAUCUCCGUAUCCCCAACCCCCCCAUCCUUCUCCCCUCCAUCCUCCUGUCCUCCCUCAUCCCCCCUCCCCCAUCAUCCCCACUCCCCU